rnacentral:rRNA from 1 species
AUUGAACGCUGGCGGCAUGCUUUACACAUGCCAGUCGAACGGUAACAGGCCGCAAGGUGCUGACGAGUGGCGUACGGGUGAGUAAUGCAUCGGAACGUGCCCAGUCGUGGGGGAUAACGCAGCGAAAGCUGCGCUAAUACCGCAUACGAUCUAUGGAUGAAAGCGGGGGACCGUAAGGCCUCGCGCGAUUGGAGCGGCCGAUGUCAGAUUAGGUAGUUGGUGGGGUAAGGGCUCACCAAGCCAACGAUCUGUAGCUGGUCUGAGAGGACGACCAGCCACACUGGGACUGAGACACGGCCCAGACUCCUACGGGAGGCAGCAGUGGGGAAUUUUGGACAAUGGGCGCAAGCCUGACCCAGCAAUGCCGCGUGCAGGAAGAAGGCCGUCGGGUUGUAAACUGCUUUUGUACGGAACGGAACGGUCCUGGUUAAUACCUGGGGCUAAUGACGGUACCGUAAGAAUAAGCACCGGCUAACAACGUGCCAGCAGCCGCAGUAAUAC